GACGAACGCUGGCGGCGUGCCUAAUACAUGCAAGUCGAACGCUGAAGGAGGAGCUUGCUUCUCCGGAUAAGUUGCGAACGGGUGAGUAACGCGUAGGUAACCUGCCUGGUAGCGGGGGAUAACUAUUGGAAACGAUAGCUAAUACCGCAUAAGAGUAGAUGUCGCAUGACAUUUGCUUAAAAGGUGCAACUGCACCACUACCAGAUGGACCUGCGUUGUAUUAGCUAGUUGGUGAGGUAACGGCUCACCAAGGCAACGAUACAUAGCCGACCUGAGAGGGUGAUCGGCCACACUGGGACUGAGACACGGCCCAGACUCCUACGGGAGGCAGCAGUAGGGAAUCUUCGGCAAUGGACGGAAGUCUGACCGAGCAACGCCGCGUGAGUGAAGAAGGUUUUCGGAUCGUAAAGCUCUGUUGUAAGAGAAGAACGAGUGUGAGAGUGGAAAGUUCACACUGUGACGGUAUCUUACCAGAAAGGGACGGCUAACUACGUG
rnacentral:rRNA from 1 species